rnacentral:rRNA from 1 species
AACGAACGCUGGCGGCAUGCCUAACACAUGCAAGUCGAACGAGACCUUCGGGUCUAUUGGCGCACGGGUGCGUAACGCGUGGGAACCUGCCCUUAGGUUCGGAAUAACUCCCCGAAAGGGGUGCUAAUACCGGAUAAUGUCUUCGGACCAAAGAUUUAUCGCCUUUGGAUGGGCCCGCGUUGGAUUAGCUAGUUGGUAGGGUAAAAGCCUACCAAGGCGACGAUCCAUAGCUGGUCUGAGAGGAUGAUCAGCCACACUGGGACUGAGACACGGCCCAGACUCAUACGGGAGGCAGCAGUGGGGAAUAUUGGAAAAUGGGCGAAAGCCUGAUCCAGCAAUGCCGCGUGAGUGAUGAAGGCCUUAGGGUUGUAAAGCUCUUUUACCCGGGAUGAUAAUGACAGUACCGGGAGAAUAAGCUCCGGCUAACUCCGUG